rnacentral:rRNA from 1 species
AUUGAACGCUGGCGGCAUGCCUUACACAUGCAAGUCGAACGGCAGCGCGGACUUCGGUCUGGCGGCGAGUGGCGAACGGGUGAGUAAUGCAUCGGAACGUACCUUUCAGUGGGGGAUAACGUAGCGAAAGUUACGCUAAUACCGCAUAUUCCGUGAGCAGGAAAGCAGGGGAUCGCAAGACCUUGCGCUGAUUGAGCGGCCGAUGUCAGAUUAGCUAGUUGGUGAGGUAAAGGCUCACCAAGGCGACGAUCUGUAGCGGGUCUGAGAGGAUGGUCCGCCACACUGGGACUGAGACACGGCCCAGACUCCUACGGGGGGCAGCAGUGGGGAAUUUUGGACAAUGGGGGCAACCCUGAUCCAGCCAUGCCGCGUGAGUGAAGAAGGCCCUCGGGUUGUAAAGCUCUUUCGGCCGGGAAGAAAUCGCAUGGGUUAAUACCCUGUGUGGAUGACGGUACCGGAAUAAGAAGCACCGGCUAACUACGUGCCAGCCGCCGCCGUAA